ensembl:ncRNA asRNA:CR45151 antisense RNA:CR45151
ACCUUAGAGCUAAAUUUCUUUGCAAACGCUGUGCGGCAUCCACAUCGCCGUCGGCGGGAGAUGGCGGAGCAUUUGGUCGCACUGGCGGGGAUGGAGGAGAAGCAGCUGCAGCCGCAGCUGGCGGGGCAUGCAGAUCACUCAAUCUUCCCGAGCGCGGUUGGUAAUUAUUGUUAUUAUUGUUCACAUUGCUGUUGUGCAGGAAUUGCUGCGCUUGCUGCAUGUGUUGAUUAAGAAUUGCUCUCCGGUUAGCCAAAUACUGUUCUUGAGGACCCAGUGCAGCUGCUGCACCUCCCACUCCAGGACGGAUGUUUCCUCCGCGAUUUUGGCCAGGUCCACCCAAUCCACCUCCACCUAGUCGACGAUCCGGAACUGGUAUCCGGUAUCCCCUUGGAGGUACAUUUUGAAGAGGAUUCGGCGGCGGAGGUCCACGGCCUCCAACGACGGGGACUCUGCUUUGCUUCAUCAUUUGGAAGUCCUGCGGCAUGUUGGGCGAUGGGCCCACGACCACCAGGUAGUUGUUGACCUUGCAACCGGGAUUGCACCACAUGUGGACGGCUCCAAAGCGCUUGUUGCGCACAGCAAUAGACUUCCAGCUCCAUACAUCCCUGGUCAUGUCCAGCAGCCAGGCAUCAGUGUACACGCGAUUGGCACCGCCACAUCCUCCCACGAUCAGCAGAUGGUUCCUUCCCAACUCCACCUGUAUUUGUCCGUAUCGCGGACUGGGUCGCGUGUUGCCCACAAAGAGCGGCUGCCACCAGCGCUGCUCCGGCAGAUCCAGUACCCAUGUGUCGUUCGAGUUCACAUUGAAAUCGUCUUUGAUCUGGUAACCACCAAAAACUACCAUCCGAUCGCCAUGUACCGUGGCCGAGUGUCCAGCCAUCGGUGGUGGGGAAGAUAGGGAGCUUCGCAGCAGCCAACGGUUCUUUCCAAGAUCGUAGUAGUGCAGCUCGUCAAAUAAGCACCAUGGUUGGUAGGGCGGAUGUAGCGAGGGGUAUCGCCAUCCGCCAAAGAGUAUCAGCUGGUUCCGCCACGCCACCAUUGAUGCACUGCCCUUGGGCGAGGGAUAGGUUCCUGUGGCCACUGGCCGCGCCCACCGCAUGUGCGUCAAAUCAAAGCGCCACAGAUCGUUGAAGGUGGUGUCCGACGAGGAUCCACCGCCGAAUACGUACAUGGAGUUGUCUUGCCGCACAGCCGAAUGAGCAAAUCUUCCGGCAAUAAAGGAUAAUAGUGCUCCUGCCCCGCCAUUGACUGUCUGCUGGGAAAACACCUCCCAGCGCAGUCGAAAGUCGAUGAGGCCCUUCUCGAGAUUGUGUCUGGAACGACGCACAAGAUGCCCACUCUUCACAAUGGCGUGCCAUCGCUUGCACACCAGGCUGCAGUGCUCCAAGUCGCCGUAGGGUGGCAGGUAGGUGAAUAUGAACUCCAGUAUCUCAUCGGGAAGGACAUUCAGAUUUACAGCGGCCAAGGUCGCCCCGCAAUUGUCGUUCUCGCCGUCGACCUUGUAUCUGCUCGCGUCCAUCCUUUGUGAUGUCCUUGCUGCCCCCUUUCUUCGUGGCUUUCGUGGUGUGCUUCACCCUCGGAUGCUGCACCACAGAAGCAGCAAUAGGCAGCGAAUGAUUUUAAGUCGCUGAACUUAUAUGCUGGCUUGAACUCCAGAUGAUUUUCGGGUUUUUAUACAACAAAAAUAAAUUAUAACAUAAACAGU